UACGGGGGGGGCAAGCGUUGUUCGGAAUUACUGGGCGUAAAGGGCUCGUAGGCGGCCAACUAAGUCGGAUGUGAAAUCUCCACGCUUAACGUGGAGCGUGCGGUCGAUACGGGCAGACUUGAAUUCGGUAGAGGUUGGUGGAAUUCCCAGUGUAGAGGUGAAAUUCGUAGAGAUUGGGAAGAACACCCGUGGCGAAGGCGGCCAACUGGACCGACAUUGACGCUGAGGCGCGAAAGCGUGGGGAUCAAACAGG
rnacentral:rRNA from 1 species